CAGUCUGUUGCUCAGUCAGUCAGCAGGAAGACAGCAUGGAGGUCACAGCUCUCUGCAUAAGACUGUGGAUGGACAUGUUGGUCCUGCUGCUUGUAAGAGUUGACCACAGUUACUUUGCUCAGAAAGCUAAUGCGGCUUUUCCUCGUGUUCUUCCAGACAGACUGCAGUUU